rnacentral:rRNA from 1 species
GAUGAACGCUGGCGGCGUGCCUAAUACAUGCAAGUCGAGCGAACAGACGAGGAGCUUGCUCCUCUGACGUUAGCGGCGGACGGGUGAGUAACACGUGGAUAACCUACCUAUAAGACUGGGAUAACUUCGGGAAACCGGAGCUAAUACCGGAUAAUAUAUUGAACCGCAUGGUUCAAUAGUGAAAGACGGUUUUGCUGUCACUUAUAGAUGGAUCCGCGCCGCAUUAGCUAGUUGGUAAGGUAACGGCUUACCAAGGCAACGAUGCGUAGCCGACCUGAGAGGGGGGGGGGCCACACGGAAACGUGGACCGGGCCCACACACCACGGGGGGAAGGAAGAGGGGACUUUUCCAAAAGGGGGGAAGGCCGGACGAGUAACGGCGGGGUGAGUGAGGAAGUUCUUCGUAGCGAAAAACUUUGUUAUGGGGAAAAAAAAAAUGUUAAAGUACCUCUGCCUGUUUGGAGGUAACCUAAUAGAAAGGCCCCGCCAAGCGCGGUC